GGGCCCCGUGGUGUGGAUUUGCGGUGACACAGCCUUUCCCCAGUUCGGCCUUCAUCUCCAGAGUUGGCUUUAGGGUGAUAGAAGCUUCACCUGAACCCUGAAGCUUUGGUGCUAGGAAUUCGGUGACCGGCACAGAUGAUACCUCGUUUCUCUGCAUUUGUAGCAAUAGUUGUUAACAUGACCACGAGAUGUACAGAGGAAGGAAAAAGGAGGUUUUCUUUUCCGAGUAACACUCUGUGCUUUGGGAAAUGUGGUCUCGGGGGAGCUGUAAGCACGUGCCCCUCAGGAGGGGAGGAGGCCAGCGGCGUUACUGCGUUCGGGGUUUGUUGGCUGUGUGUGUUCAUCGGGCUCAUGGAAUGUCGGAAUGUUUACAGGGAAAGUGGGGUUUGUUCAUCUGGUUCGUGCAAUGUCUGAACACUUAUAGGGAAAGUCUAGCACACAUGCAGUGAGUUAACCUGUAACAUCCAUGUUCACCUUGGGGCAAGUGUAACAUUUGAAAUGAGGUGGACUGGACAUGUCAUGUACAAAGGUGAGCUGUUGGGCGCAGACGUUUAUGCGCAGCCUCAGUCACAGCCAGGACUGGCUCAGGGUCUGCAGCUUGUGGCAGGAAGGGACAUUCACGAGGCCAUUCUGUCCAGUUGGGGCUGCCGGCAGGGUCCCAGGGUGGGGCUUCUGAUUAUGGAGGAGACUUCAUGCUGGUUAACAGACUGUAUAGGAGUAGUGCCGUGGAGCUUUGGGGUCCACCUUCCCUAUGAUGCCAGUUACAUUUCUCUCCGGACCUCAUCGUAGCCACAGAGAGUGCACCUCGUCUGAAAGCAGGGGGUGCCAUGUUGAUACAGUAAUUUAUUGUAUUAACCUUUUUAUUACUAUUUUAAUAACUUUUUUUUCUUUUGAAAGAGAUAGAGUGUUGCUGUGUUACUCAAGCUAGUCUUGAACUCGUGGCCUCAAGCAAUCCUCCCACCUCGGCCUCCCAAAGUGCUGGGCUUAUAUAUAUGAGGCAGUGCACCCAGCCUACAGCCAUGUUUUUAAAACUCAGCACUUUAAAAAUCCUACUCCUUUCACCCCCUCAAGCACGCUGGUUAGCCUUGUGCAAACUGGGGUGUCAAGAUCUUGGCCCCCCUUUUAUUUUACCCUUCGACCUCAAGUUCUGAUGAGAACAGCAGUUACAAAAUGGGCUUUAGGUGAUUCUUCCGUUACUAAAGCCAGAAUUCUCACCAGUUAGAGAUGUUUGUCCCCAGGAUCCCAGAAAGCUGUUUUGAAUCAAGCUCGGAGCAAGUAAGUAAGGAACUAAACUCUUGGUCCUCUGCUUAGCACCUGGGGAAUGGGUUAGUUGCUGAUACCCUUUGAUCUGUGCUCACAUGCUGCAUCUCAUCACGGGAAGCAGAGUCGCCCUGUGGAAUAAAGCCCAGCUCACGGUGGCACGUCGAGACGCUCAGGGCUGUCAGUCCCUUAUACAGCGGCAGACUUGGAGACUCAGCAUCGCGUGCAGAGCCCGGGCAACCGGAGUGCAUCCACCUUAGAGACCACAGGGCCGGUCGGCAAGGUGGAUGUCCGGGCAUAUGGCCCUGACAGGCCCGCUGCAAGGUGAAUUAGGAAUUCGUUAGCAAAGAAAUCAAACUCGCCUGUGGGUCCCAGCUACUUGGAAGGCUGAGGCGGGAGGAUUGCUUGAGCCAGAAGGUCAAGGCCGCGAUAAGCCAUGAUUGUAAUACUGCACUCUGGCCUGGGUGACACAGGAGACUCCGACUCAAAAAAAAAAAAAAAAAAAAAAAAAA
rnacentral:lncRNA from 1 species